rnacentral:rRNA from 1 species
UCUCCUGGAAACGGGUGGUAAUGCCGGAUGCUCCAUCACACCGCAUGGUGUGUUGGGAAAGCCUUUGCGGCAUGGGAUGGGGUCGCGUCCUAUCAGCUUGAUGGCGGGGUAACGGCCCACCAUGGCUUCGACGGGUAGCCGGCCUGAGAGGGCGACCGGCCACAUUGGGACUGAGAUACGGCCCAGACUCCUACGGGAGGCAGCAGUGGGGAAUAUUGCACAAUGGGCGCAAGCCUGAUGCAGCGACGCCGCGUGAGGGAUGGAGGCCUUCGGGUUGUAAACCUCUUUUGUUAGGGAGCAAGGCACUUUGUGUUGAGUGUACCUUUCGAAUAAGCACCGGCUAACUACGUGCCAGCAGCCGCGGUAAUACGUAGGGUGCAAGCGUUAUCCGGAAUUAUUGGGCGUAAAGGGCUCGUAGGCGGUUCGUCGCGUCCGGUGUGAAAGUCCAUCGCUUAACGGUGGAUCCGCGCCGGGUACGGGCGGGCUUGAGUGCGGUAGGGGAGACUGGAAUUCCCGGUGUAACGGUGGAAUGUGUAGAUAUCGGGAAGAACACCA